UGUUAUGGCGGCUGUGCGUGGGACACCUUCGGGUGUGCCGGGUGCCUUGAGUCCCGGUCGGCCAACCCGCGUACAGCCGUCACCAUU
rnacentral:antisense_RNA from 1 species